AUAAAGAGAAAAAAAGAAAAACUUAUUUCUUUUGUUCUUGAAGCCUUCAUCUUCUCCGGUUUCUGCAGAAGAAGAAAACGAUUUCCAUUUCCUUUCUCCCAAAAAAUCCAAAAAUCAGAUGGAAAACCGUUCACAUGAUUAACGUUCCAACUCUCAUCAAUGGAGUCCGAACUCCAAGACCUCAAUCCGAAACCGCCGAAACAACCCGACCCGAACAAUGACGGGCGUCCUCUCCUCAAGCCUUCCGCCACCGACUCCUCCGGCGAGCUCGAGAAGAAAUUCGCUGCGUUCGUGCGGCACGAUGUUUACGGUUCCAUGGGACGCGGUGAGUUACCGACGCGGGAGAAGGUGCUGCUGGGUGUGGCGUUAGUGACGCUGGUUCCGGUGAGGGUGGUGGCGAUAACCACCAUCCUGUUGCUCUAUUACUUUAUUUGUAGGGUUUGCACGAUGGGCUCUGUCCCGAAUCGCGUGGAGGAGCAUCAGGAGGAUUACGCGCACAUUGUAGGGUGGAGGAGGAUCGUCAUUGUGCAGAGUGGAAGAGCCCUCUCCAGGCUCAUGCUCUUCGUGUUCGGGUUUUAUUGGAUAACACACACGUAUCGGAUUCCACCGGCUCACGUUGAAAAUUCUACCCCCACCAACGAGCAGGAAAACAAUGCUCAGUCCGAAGACACAAGACCCGGUGUUAUAAUAUCUAAUCACGUGUCAUAUUUGGAUAUUUUGUAUCACAUGUAUGCCUCGUUCCCGAGUUUUGUUGCUAAGAGAUCAGUGGCUAAACUUCCUCUUCUUGGUCUCAUCAGUAAGUGCCUUGGUUGCGUCCUGGUUCAACGGGAAUCAAAGUCAUCGGACUUUAAGGGUGUUUCAGCUGUUGUCACUGAGAGAAUUCGGGAAGCUCACCAAAAUCCAUCUGCUCCAACAAUGAUGUUGUUCCCAGAAGGUACAACCACAAAUGGGGAAUUUCUCCUUCCGUUCAAGACUGGCGGUUUUUUAGCGAAAGCACCAGUACUUCCUGUAAUUUUAACUUAUCGUUACCAGAGAUUUAGCCCUGCCUGGGAAUCCAUAUCUGGCGUACGUCAUGUGAUUUUUAUUCUCUGUCAGUUUGUAAAUUAUAUGGAGGUGAUUCAGUUACCUACUUACUAUCCGUCGCAGCAGGAGCAGGAUGAUCCCAAACUAUAUGCUAAUAAUGUUAGAAGGUUGAUGGCAAGCGAGGGAAAUUUGAUACUUUCAGAUAUUGGGCUGGCUGAAAAACGAAUGUAUCAUGCAGCCCUCAACGGUAAAUAGUGUUUUGCAUCAACAAUUGAUAAUUUCAUGGCCGCAAUCUCAAAUGUUAUUUAUUUCCACUAGGUUUGUUUUCCCAAUGCUAACAUGGCUUCAUCAUGGUCAGUGUUAUGGAAGGAAAAGAUAGUUUAGGAAAUCCAGUACUGGGCUAUAGUGCUUGAGCUCGGUACAGGAAUUAGGGCUGCAGAGAAGAAGAUCGUAAAUAUGUAAAAAUAUUUACAUUGAUUUUUUCAUACGUUUAAAUUUCUUUGUAAAUAUGUAAAAUGUUGCACUACGUUGUUCAAAUGUUCCCUUUUAUUCCAUAUAUAGGUGAGUUUCUCGUUUGGAAAAA